ACCAGGGCUGCGGUAGGAGGCCUGGGUUGUAACUGACCAAUUGCCAGACAAAUCAGAGUUAGAAACUCUGGGGGUGGGGGGGGGGGGCGCUUUUCAUAACGGCUUUCCCACAACACUGUGAGAUUUUAACUUCAGGAGCCGAACCAGGUGCCCACAAGUUAAUGCUAGAUCAAACCGUGACUACAGAGAACUUCAGCUUCAUUCUUGUUGUCUGGCUGGGGCUCUGCAAAAGACAAGGGAACAACAGAAGGUUGUCAACACGUGUCUCCCCUACACCUGCCCAUACUCGGAAUAACAGCCUAAGAAUGUCACCGGCAGGACUGCAAAAAACAUGGAGAAUUUAAGAGACCGGUUAAGACGAUUGGAGUGGAGAGCCCAUCAAGGAAACAAUGUAUGCAAGGAUGUUGUGUUUCCAAAAGGAAGGAGUGUGAUUGACUUCAUUGAUGACCGGGAAGCUGAGGGCUUUUUUUCUGAUAAAAAUGAUGGACAGUACAAGGACAAAGGCGUGCGGGUUAAUGCUAAUAAAAUGUGAAUAAAAUCUGUGCCAAGAUGAAAUCAUCCCUCGAUUUCCAUUCAUUCUGCAAACAAUCUGGUGAUCAGCUGCUUUUAUUGUACCCUGUGUGCAUUUCUCUCACAAAAAGAAACAAGGCAGCGUUUUGAGAAUACUCACUUUUGAGAGAAAAUUUAAGCCACUGAUCUUGGAAGACCUUGCUUUGUAGAGUUCCUCUGUGUGUGUUUGAGAGUGUGUGCUAUGUUUCCUUUCUGUACCCUUGAAUAUUAAAGAACAUUUUCAAUCUCCA